rnacentral:lncRNA from 10 species
CACAUGCGCACAUGGAGGAAGGAAGCCCUGCAGGCGGAGAAACCAUCUAGAGAACCUCUGAACACAGCCAGGUAAAUAAAUACGUGGUUUGGCUUCAUUAGGACAGUGUCAGCUUCCCUCUGCAUCUAUUACUGACAUUUCCAGGACCCACUGUCCUGCCUUCUGCCUCUCUUCUCCCAGGAAAAGAUCUUAAGAGGCUGUGAUGGCUGCUUUAUUGGCGGCUUAGGCUAUUUGAUGUUGCUGAUGAUGGAGCUGGAGGCUGGGCUGGACGAUGGUCCGAGGACAGCGACCACCCCCUUGGGGAGGAUCUGACACACUGCAGCCAGCGGCAGGGACAGGGAAAGAAGCAAAGCACUCAUCAGAUACAAAAUCAACAGAGAGAAAUUAAAGAGCAGAGUCAAGAUUCAACAGCUCCACCCAUUUCCCCAAAGACCGGCCCCUUAACCACUGCACCGCACAGCCAUCCCCAGCAAAUGGCAAUUAACUGGGAUGUUUGUAGAUUGCCUUGGCCACUGGAACACUGAGUUAUUGUCUUCCCUUUUUUCAUUUCACUACUUUCUAUAAUGAGCAUGUAUUCCUUUUUAUAACAUAUUAUAAAGAAUACAAUGCUAUAAUAAAAACAUUCUUCUGAUGAGCAAGUAAAAUUCGAGUGACUCUGGUCUCCUUAAGUCCUGUCUUUGCAGCCCCUUCUCCCACCGUGCCAUCUCCCGCUGCAUGCCAGCUCACCUAGAACAUACUCUGUACAUAUUUUCCUGCCUGAUCCUGUUCCCAAAUGGCUAUCUCUAGAUCAGGGGUUCUUAACCUGUAGCCUGGGG